rnacentral:tRNA from 1 species
GCCUGGGUGGCUCAGUCGGUUGAGCAUCUGACUUCAGCUCAGGUCAUGAUCUCACGGUCUGUGAGUUUGAGCCCCGCGUCAGGCU